UUACCUGUGUUUGUGCAGCUACAGCAACCGCGGAGUGGCCAGAUAAAGAAGCUAGGACUUUUUUCUUUUCUUUUUUUCUGCAAAAGAUGUGUUUGGAGAAAGUGGCGGUCUGGUGUUGCAGAUUACGGUAGGGCUGCGUUGUGCAGAAUGUUGUGAAUUGAGCCUCAGGGACCGCACGUUUUUCGGCAGGGCGGUUGCCGCAGGAGUGUGGGCUUUCGGAAAGCAGCAUCCUGUUGCGGCGCCUCCACGAGGAGUCCGCCAACCUGAAAAGCUGGAUGUUGGCCUCAGUGCAGAAUAUUGGAGAUGAGAACAGCAUCCCACCGUGAAGUCGGAUAAUGUCCGUGUCUCCAGUUGAAGGAGUACUGGACAGUGAUGAGGUUGCAGAGUGGCAGAAGAUGCCAGCAGCUUAGUGUUACAGAUGUCUUGAGUCACCUGUAAGGCCUGUGCACAGAGAUGCCACCUACCACUUCUGCUCAGAGCCUGUGGAGUGUUGGCCUUUGGUCAUAUGUGGACGCUCUCAUGCAUUUCCUGCUCUGGAGUCCUGUCCUGUGUCCCCAGGUUUGGGGACCACUGGAGUGCAGUUCUAUAGCUGGCAGCAGUGCAGCCCAGGAAGAGGUAAGCACAGUGAUUUAUCUUGGAGGACUAAGCUUCAGCUGCUUGUCAGAAUUGGUUUUGAGGAUAUCGAGUGAUGAAAUCACCAAAACUAGCUGGAAUUACCGGCAGAUUGGUAGUGGUGAACCUACGGUUUUCUGAAGGUAUCCUUUAUGAUUUGAAUGACUGCUUGUGGGAGCAGGCAAUGGGACUGAUACUUAGUUUCUUUGCAGGCAGAGGGCUGCAAGCUGCCGUUGAUUCUGUUUGACAAUCUCUGUGACUGGAACGUUUGCUACAGAAGAAACAAGCUGCUUCCCUCCUGUAUCAGAGGCCUUCUCAAGAGAACUGAUGCUACCCCAUUUUGCUCCAUUCAUGUCACUCUUUAUGUGUAUCUGAUGUUGAGAAGAUUUUAAAUAAACAUUUGUCACUUUUUCCAAGCGUCCUUGUGGAAGUGACAUCUUUAAACUCUGCAUGGCAAUCUCUGAAGCACUGCCAUGAUGUGCCUAGGGAAGAUAAGGCAACCUGGAAAUCCAGCUACUUCCUUAAGAUCAUCCAACUUUUGGAUGAUUAUCCAAAAUGCUUCAUUGUGGGAGCAGACAUUGGCUCUGUGAGAUGAAGCAGAUUCAAAGGUCCCUCUGAGGGAAGAUUGUGGUGCUGCUGGGCAAAAAUACCAUGAUGCACAAGGCCAUCUGAGGACAAAUGGAAAACAUCCCUGCCCUGGACAAACUGUUGCCUCAUACCCAGAGUAAUAUGGGCUAUGUGUUCACCAAGGAGGACCUUACUGGGAUCAGGGGUAUGCUGCUGGCCAAUAAGCUGCCAGCUGGGGCCAGGGAGCGAGCUCAGCAGCAUAAGCACCUGCCUGGCAAGUGCAGGGUCCUGAGUUGGACCCCCAGGACCGGAAAGAUAAAA